rnacentral:rRNA from 1 species
GUAUGAAUGGCAUCAUGAGAGCCCAACUGUCUCCUCUGACUAAUCAAUGAACCUGAUCUGCCAGUACAAAAGCUGGCGUAAACCCAUAAGACGAGAAGACCCUGUGGAGCUUAAAAUAUUACUGCUACACACAGCCCCCCCCCAACAGGCCCACAGCAAAACAUAGCAUACAUUUUUGGUUGGGGCGACCACGGAACUAAGUCCAACUUCCACUAAUUUUAGCCCUCCCGGCCACACCAGGUCAACAAACCAAUCAUCACUUGACCCAGCAGCGCUGAGCAACGAACCAAGUUACCCCAGGGAUAACAGCGCCAUCCUCUUCAAGAGCCCCUAUCGCCAAGAGGGUUUACGACCUCGAUGUUGGAUCAGGGCCCCCAGGUGGUGCAACCGNUACCUAAGGUUCGUUUG